rnacentral:rRNA from 1 species
CCCUUAGAUGUUCUGGGCCGCACGCGCGCUACACUGACAGAGCCAGCGAGUUUUUUCCUUGGCCGGAAGGUCUGGGUAAUCUUGUGAAACUCUGUCGUGCUGGGGAUAGAGCAUUGCAAUUAUUGCUCUUCAACGAGGAAUACCUAGUAAGCGUGAGUCAUCAGCUCGCGUUGAUUACGUCCCUGCCCUUUGUACACACCGCCCGUCGCUACUACCGAUUGAAUGGCUUAGUGAGGUCUUGGGAUUGGCUUCGAGGAACCGGCAACGGUACCUUGUUGCUGAGAACUUGAUCAAACUUGGUCAUUUAGAGGAAGUAAAAGUCGUAACA